rnacentral:rRNA from 1 species
AUGGCCGUGUGCGACUUCGAUCUGAACUUCACCUUCAUUUCUUGUGGCUGGGAGGGAUCUGCUACUGAUGCUAAAGUUCUUCGGUCAGCACUUAACAGCGGGUUUCAUGUACCUCCGGGCAAGUUUUAUCUAGUUGAUGGUGGUUAUGCCAACACACCUUACUUUUUUGCACCGUAUCAUGGUGUUCGGUACCAUUUGAAGGAGUUUGCACGCGGUCGUCGUUGA